UCUGGAAACCCCACCCCCGCAUAACCUAACAGAGGAACGGUCAUCUGGCUGUAGGCAGCCGGGUAAGAGAGUGCUUUUCCCGGCUUGUGUUUCAUCAGUUUUAGGACCGUGUGCUUGAUAUUUAUGCUCCAUUGUCGAACUUUAAGAAAUAUAUUGGACAUUAUAUUUUGAGGUUAUGUGUAACAUACCAAAAUGAUUUAAAUGUUUAAUAAACUGUUGGUAUUUUAACAGUUUUUAAUAAUAUAGCAAUACACACGUUAGGAAAAUUCUAGUAGCAUUUGUGUUAAUCAACAAAUGCUUAUUUAUUAUAACGACUUUCCCAAAGUUUGCACUGUUAUCUGACCUUAAAUCGACCGGAUGGAAUAUAUUACAGGAUGUUUUAUUUCUCCAAGCAAUAUUCAGAACAACGUUGGUUGCACAGUGUGGGAUGCUCGCCUAAAAGCAGAGUGCAUUUGAAGGCGAAAAGGAAGGAAGCUUUCAGCGAGAGAAUUUGUACGGUUUACGGAUUGCCUACUGGAAUAACGAGGUACUACUAUCAGACAUAGUGUGUCAAAACAACACGCAGAUCUUUUUUUUUUUUUCUUUCUUUUUUUUUUUUUUUUCUCCAAUAGGCUAUAUGCGUGCAACAAAAUCGAGGGAUUGUGUAUUUAUGUAGCCAAUAAUGCAAGACUCAUCUGACCUCUAUCCUCAUUUUCACAGAACUGUUCAAGAUUAGUUCACGUUAAAUCGGCCGACAGGGUACAGCAGAGUAACAAUCUGAGCUUUAAAGCUCCAUAAGCAGUCGUGUACCUUUAAGAGGCUCGUCAACAGAUCCUUGAUUAAGUGGGACUCCGUUUGUUAAAGAGCGCUUGGCGCCAGCCGGCUGGAGUCCCACAAUAAGAACCUACCCCUGUCAAUUCAUAUUUACCCCCAAAUUCUCAAACAGCGUGCACCAAUCCACUCAAUGUUCCACAAAGCUUAGCCUACAUCUUGAGAAAAAUGCAAAGAAAUGUUUUCUUCGUGCCAGCUCCUGCUUUCAACAAUUAGGUUAAUUAGAUCUAGUGAAAGUCCACGGAUGGAAGAUUUAUAUCCUGUGUUUGAAUCGAUGUCUGAUCAGUUCUGGCUAGGCCAUACUUUGACAAAUGUAGAAUGAGAAAAAAGAAGAAGAAGAAUGAAUGACAUUAAUUCCACACAUAAUUUGUUCAAAGAUCUGGAAAGCAGUACUGCACUGUCAACAGGAAAUGUAUUUUAUUUGUUCCUUUCAAUUAACUCCUUUCAUUCUCCAAAAAUGCUCACUGUAAACAUCAGAAAUGACUUCCUACUGAAGAUCUCAAAACAGCAGGACUGUCCUGAGAGGGAGACACAGGUUGCUUCCGACUUAAUACUGUCAGAGAUGAAGCCGCUCUGCGAGCUUGAAGUUAUGACCGAUGCUAGGAUUUUGAGUUACGGGUCCAGGAUUUUCAGCCAAGGGUUCAUGGAAAAUAUCGCAGAACAACAGAAGAAGGACAUUUUUAUUUUUAUUUUUUAUUUUUUUUGGAUCAUCCUGUAUCGACAUGCAUGUUUCGUCUUUGGAAGGUAGAUGUCCUGGAAUACGAUGGAGAACCCCUGCUCUGUGACAAAUGACAGGAUAAGAGGAUGGUGGACUGGGAUGAGAGGAAGUAUAAAUAUAGGGAACAUGCAGACUCUGGAAGCAUCAUGUCCCACCAUUGGGCAGAACUUCACAGACUCAAAAAUAUUCCAGAGACACCAGAAAUUUGGAUGCUGUUGAGGCACGUUGUGUGUGUAUAAAUGUAUAGAUAUAUAUGAAUUUGUCUAUGUAUGUGUGUGUGUUCGUACUGUAGACAUCUGGGGCGGCAAUCAGUGGGCUGCUCUCAAGGGCUGCCAAGGCAAACAAGGCAAUAACAAAUCCACUUUGCAGAUCAUCGAUCUGCCACUGCCCUGGCCAAGGUAAACACUCCCGGCUUGAAGUUUGCUUUUCAAAGAAGGGCUAAGGGAUCGAGGGGAGGCCACUUCCCCUGCUCGGGCUAGUUCUUUUAGCUUUCUUCUCUCCUCAACACGUGCAGAUAGAUACAUUCACAAAUGCCAAGAAAGGGUGCACAGAAAGCAAUAUAAAAAGAACUUGUUGCGACUUGUUUGAUACUGUCAUUAAAGGUGCUACCUGUCUAUUAUUAUUGUUUUUAAUUAUAGUGUGUUUGUGUGUAACCAGGUCAUUGUAGAAUGUCUAGUUAUUCUGAGCAACUGUAUGUGCUGUUUGUAGGCAGUCAGACAUACAGUGGUCCUAAAGCACUAACAGAGGGAAUUAUAGGCGAGGGGCAGCAGAUGGUAUGAAGGGUGAUGGGUCAGCAUGACAGACAGGGCAACAUUGAUUUUUGGGGACAGUGGAUUAAGCGAGGGACAAAAUUAGAGUUUAAUUAUGUGUCUGGAGAAGAACACAAUAUAGCAACAGAACAACUGCCAUCUCUGAUCAGAGGUGCUACAUGCUCAAUAAGAACCUCAGCUAAAGCUAAACUACAGAUUUAUCACAAGAUAAGGUUUUGGGACAGUGCCAUGGUACAUUUGUGGUAUCAGACCAGUUUAUAUGUUGAACCAGGCUGGUGGUUAGUGCUGAUUUGGAGCUAGUCUAGCUGGUGACCAGAAUGGCAUUGCAAAACUUGUGGAAACUGGUGGAACUUGCUGAAGCUGGUUGACCAUCAAGAUCUUUCUGCUCAGACCGUUUGGUCUUGCUUGUUCAGCCAGUUUAGAACCUUUUUGGGGACAUCAGCAAACUAGCAUCCCACUCUGGGGCACCAGCGAGCAAAGCAUGACAUUUGUUGGAGACAAGAUAUGUUACGUUACUUUGAAAUAAACCAGUGAAUGCUAACCAUAUUCUUCUUUUGUUAUGAACCCAGUAUGGGUUAUAUUUGUGGGUUGCUUGUUUGUUUUUUCCCUUUGUUUGUUUUGCAGGAUGGUGUUAGGGUGAGUGACAUCAUUACGUCAUUAUGGCUAAGGACCUGUGUUGGAGCUGAUGCCGGCAAAUGCUUCCCUUCAGUUGUGAUGGCGCUCACUCUCCUCUCCUCGUAUCAUUCUUGUUCUCUUUUCAGUUGUUUGUUUUGUUUUCGUUUAGUCAUUUUUCUUAUUUUAUUCUUACUUUAAUAAAUGUUAUUCCUUUUUUGAUUAUGA